rnacentral:rRNA from 1 species
UAGGGAAUCUUCGGCAAUGGGGGCAACCCUGACCGAGCAACGCCGCGUGAGUGAAGAAGGUUUUCGGAUCGUAAAGCUCUGUUGUAAGUCAAGAACGGGUGUGAGAGUGGAAAGUUCACUCUGUGACGGUAGCUUACCAGAAAGGGACGGCUAACUACGUGCCAGCAGCCGCGGUAAUACGUAGGUCCCGAGCGUUGUCCGGAUUUAUUGGGCGUAAAGCGAGCGCAGGCGGUUUGAUAAGUCUGAAGUUAAAGGCUGUGGCUCAACCAUAGUUCGCUUUGGAAACUGUCAAACUUGAGUGCAGAAGGGGAGAGUGGAAUUCCAUGUGUAGCGGUGAAAUGCGUAGAUAUAUGGAGGAACACCGGUGGCGAAAGCGGCUCUCUGGUCUGUAACUGACGCUGAGGCUCGAAAGCGUGGGGAGCGAACAGG